rnacentral:rRNA from 1 species
UACGGAGGGUGCAAGCGUUAAUCGGAUUCAUUGGGCGUAAAGGGUGCGUAGAUGGUUGGAUAAGUUAGCAGUGGGAAAUCGGGGCUCAACCCCGUGGAAGGUGGUAAUACUAUCCAACUCGAGGGCAGGAGAGGUUAACGGAACUCCCUGUGGAGCGGUGAAAUGCAUAGAUAUAGGGAAGAACACCAAAAGGCGAAGGCAGUUAACUAUUCUGUCCCUGACAUUGAGGCACGAAAGCGUGGGGAGCAAAAAGG